GAUGAACGCUGGCGGCGUGCCUAAUACAUGCAAGUCGAGCGAACGGACGAGAAGCUUGCUUCUCUGAUGUUAGCGGCGGACGGGUGAGUAACACGUGGAUAACCUACCUAUAAGACUGGGAUAACUUCGGGAAACCGGAGCUAAUACCGGAUAAUAUUUUGAACCGCAUGGUUCAAAAGUGAAAGACGGUCUUGCUGUCACUUAUAGAUGGAUCCGCGCUGCAUUAGCUAGUUGGUAAGGUAACGGCUUACCAAGGCAACGAUGCAUAGCCGACCUGAGAGGGUGAUCGGCCACACUGGAACUGAGACACGGUCCAGACUCCUACGGGAUGCAGCAGUAGGGAAUCUUCCGCAAUGGGCGAAAGCCUGACGGAGCAACGCCGCGUGAGUGAUGAAGGUCUUCGGAUCGUAAAACUCUGUUAUUAGGGAAGAACAUAUGUGUAAGUAACUGUGCACAUCUUGACGGUACCUAAUCAGAAAGCCACGGCUAACUACGUG
rnacentral:rRNA from 1 species